rnacentral:rRNA from 1 species
AUUGAACGCUGGCGGCAGGCCUAACACAUGCAAGUCGAGCGGAUGAAGGGAGCUUGCUCCUGGAUUCAGCGGCGGACGGGUGAGUAAUGCCUAGGAAUCUGCCUGGUAGUGGGGGAUAACGUCCGGAAACGGGCGCUAAUACCGCAUACGUCCUGAGGGAGAAAGUGGGGGAUCUUCGGACCUCACGCUCUCAGAUGAGCCUAGGUCGGAUUAGCUAGUUGGUGGGGUAAAGGCCUACCAAGGCGACGAUCCGUAACUGGUCUGAGAGGAUGAUCAGUCACACUGGAACUGAGACACGGUCCAGACUCCUAUGGGAGGCAGCAGUGGGGAAUAUUGGACAAAGGGCGAAAGCCUGAUCCAGCCAUGCCGCGUGUGUGAAGAAGGUCUUCGGAUUGUAAAGCACUUUAAGUUGGGAGGAAGGGCAGUAAGUUAAUACCUUGCUGUUUUGACGUUACCAACAGAAUAAGCACCGGCUAACUUCGUG